GACGAACGCUGGCGGCGUGCUUAACACAUGCAAGUCGAACGGAAAGGCCCUGCUUUUGUGGGGUGCUCGAGUGGCGAACGGGUGAGUAACACGUGAGUAACCUGCCCUUGACUUUGGGAUAACUUCAGGAAACUGAGGCUAAUACCGGAUAGGAGCUCCUGCUGCAUGGUGGGGGUUGGAAAGUUUCGGCGGUUGGGGAUGGACUCGCGGCUUAUCAGCUUGUUGGUGGGGUAGUGGCUUACCAAGGCUUUGACGGGUAGCCGGCCUGAGAGGGUGACCGGCCACAUUGGGACUGAGAUACGGCCCAGACUCCUACGGGAGGCAGCAGUGGGGAAUAUUGCACAAUGGGCGGAAGCCUGAUGCAGCAACGCCGCGUGCGGGAUGACGGCCUUCGGGUUGUAAACCGCUUUCGCCUGUGACGAAGCGUGAGUGACGGUAAUGGGUAAAGAAGCACCGGCUAACUACG
rnacentral:rRNA from 1 species